CGUGCCGGGUAGGAGGAAUAGGGUAGAGCUGAGGACGCGCGACGGUGGAGGACAGGGCGGAGUGGCGAUCGGCGCGUGGCGGCGGGGGGUCGGGGAACAGCGCCGAGAGGUGGCCGGACGGGGGCAGCAGCGCGAGGCGACCUGGUGGGGGGCAACGGCACGCGGCGGUGGCGGAUGUCAGCGGCACGAGGCGGUGACGGAUGGGGUGGCCGCGCGGAUGAGGGUGGGUUAACGGGGGUGUGGGCGCCGGAAGAUGACUCCCCAACCCCUCCGCCUAAGCCCCCGCCCGCUGCGCCGCGCACAGCGGCCACUGCUGCUACUUCCGUCUGUAUUAAAGGGGGGGCUGGGGACGCUUGGGAUCGUCGGCGUGUUUGCGGUGGGGGGGCGUCCGGUACCCCAACGGCGCGGAGGAGCGGAGGGAGAUGAGGUCCGGGGAGAGAGCGCGACGACCCUCAUCACCAGAGAUCGUCGACGGGAGGGGAGUCAGUAACGUAGUUAGAGGACGAGGUAGAGAGAGGUUGUAGGGGCGAGAGGAGAGCGUAGUGUGUCCGCCACCGAUAUGUAUAGACUGGCCCACACCGCACGCACCAUAGACACUGCACGAAGCGGAUGGCCAACAGGGACUACACACGCCGACCUACACGUAGGGACAAAUACACACACCGCGAAAUGUACGUCUCCUUCACUUACCAACGUUCGUCUCCUUCGACAACCGGCAACCGUUUCCUCCUAAUCCUAUCAAGAGAACUAGAACCAGUCUUUUUAACCAUCAAGGGAACUAAACAAAACAAGACUUAAUCAUGUUUUCACGUGACUAUAAACAAAACACGACGUCCUCGAAGUUCUGUGGUCCAUGGUUAACGUUGAAAGUAAAUAGACAACACACUUGGUUAAACACUACCGAAGAUUUGUGUGAACCGACCUUGUCUCGUUAAAAGAUAUCAGAAGUCGCUGCUACACCACGACGUGACGACGAGAGAAUGACGAUCGAACGAUGAAGAUCGAAUUAAAACGAUAACGACGAUCGACUUAAAACGUAUCCGUACCGUUCGACAAACCAUGCAUAUGUUUACUACGACAAUAAAAACAAUAACGAGUGUGGGCCGGCGGGUGCGAGUGCCGGUCACGACGUCUAAAGCACCGACCGGUCGAAUAGGAGUUACACAAGACUGAGCCUCCAGCCUCAACUUCGACUGUUGCCUGAGUUCGUGAGGUGGUAUAAGAAUCAUAACGUAUGGCAGUGGCGACUCCCCAAUCGGUUCGACGAAAAUCUUCAGUAUAUUGUUAAUUCACGAUCUAUAACAGUGUCUAUCUAAAACUACCUAUACUUAAAUUAUUCGAUGUUUCGUCACAUCCAGCUCUACUUGUCUCUUACCAUACGUAUUACACAUUGUUAUAAACUAUGUAAAUGUAACUAUCCAGACCCUAGCAACCUCCCAACAUACGAAAACUAACUAAUUCGAAUUGUGAAGACGAGUGAGUAAUAAAUGAGACAUAAGUAGUUUUUUAUAAAUAAAAAAUGAUAUAGUAUAGUAUAAGCUGUCUGUCUCCGUCUCUGCUGGUACCAAGAUCGAUUAUCGUGAACGAUUGAAUUCUUCAGAUGUAUGGAAAAUAGAUUGAUUUUCUCUCAAAGAAUGGUUGAUAACUCGGAUGUUCGAAAUCUACAUACAGAGAUUUCGGUGAUGAGUUGAAGUACAAUCAUGAAAAGACAUCUCGUAUGGAGGUAUUAAGAGGUAGAUUCUAUCAUGAUUUCAAAUAACUACUACGAAUCAAAGUCCUAUACGGAAUGUUCGGUAGGUACACUCUUUAGGUUCUCCAAGUUCCGCAUAACUUUUCCUCGACCUCAUCCAUCCACCACCUAACUCCUUCCCAGACCUCGUCUCCGCCUUAGCUCCGACGGGGAUGUACGCGAUUCCUCGACGUUCCGCGGACACUAGGCCUGUGACGAUACAAAAGAGGAAGAGAGGUCCAUUCGGGAGUCGUCGUGGAGAGCAUGGGGGAGGUAGGCUUAAGUCGUCGCGUGUUGCUGUUGUCAUCGGCUGCAGGAGGAGUAGGUACUUUGAGGGUUGAAAAAACGAACAAUGUUGGGUGUAGUAUGUGCCAAGACGUAACACCACAAACACGGUUUCAAGUUUUAACGUAUUCAAGAACGUCCUGCCCUUUCUUGUAUUUUAAACACAAAAGUCAGUGUUCAGACGAGGGGUAACACCUAUCGCAGUUUGACUUACACCACUUGUCCACGCUCUGUAUUAAAUCACCUCUACGUUCUACUUUCUACCUUGUACUACGAAGUUUAGUCGUAUUAAUAUUCCUAAUGAUUUAAAGAGUUCCUUUAGUUACGUCGCCACUAUUUAUAUACAUUAAUGUAAAAAAAAGGCUCUUAUACAUUAACGUACAUAUCGUAGACAAAACUUGACAUAAAAUAUACGGUAAAUACAUAGUACCACCUUGUGUUUUAAAUUUAUCUUUUCUUAUCCUCAUUGAUUACAUAUAGAACGAUAAAGUCUAUAUAUAGAUACGCUGAUAUAUGAAUGGAUUUCAUGCAUGUUACGUAUGACACCUUAGUAUGUAGUUUAUAAGUACGAAUUGAUUUAUAAGACGUUCAAAACAAACGGCGACGAGCCAGUUCUUUUCGGAUAACGAGCGGUGAUACACGCCAAGAGAACCGUAAAGUACCCCACGUUGGCCUUCACCGUGUUCUGACAUCAACACAGCAAGAAUUUAAAUGACUACAACUACAAAGAAAAGUUCUAACAUCAUAACAAAUGGUUAAACCAGGGACCCAAUACAUGAGUAAAGGAAAAGAUAACAAACAUUCAUGAAACGAAACCAAGUAGCUUGAUGGACGACUUUAUACACAUAACAAAGAGUUAUAUAACCCGUAGUUAGGUGGAGAGUACUCUAGAGACUUAAAAGCUGCGUAUAACAUAAACGACUUAAUAAAGGAGGUCUAUUGAUACGAACCUAAGUGUUUACACACGUUACGAAAGUUCGUCACUAUUCAAAAAAUGAAUUCGACACGAUAAGGUGAAAGUUCAAAAACCAGGAUCUUCACAUUAUGAACCAUCCAAUCGACGUAUAUUCACCUUACAUAUACCGGACUUAAAUGUAAAGUCUCACAUAUUAGACUAAGUCUCAUAAAACUGAGGAACGUAAGACUUUAUAAAACAACAUAUCAAAACAGGACUUUCUUAUCUUCGUUAACAAGAUACCCUCUCUUAUAUUUGCAAUAAGAGUUUGUUGUACGUUGUAGUAAAAGAAUAAUGGUUAAAUUUGUACCAGUCAUUAUCGUGUUGACUUCAAACACUUUUAUAGUAAUUUUACCAACCAACCUAACACAAAACAUACCUAAGAUAUUCCCGGUAAAAGUACCUUAAUGUUUAAUCGAAAUGUAAAAAUACCGACACGAGUAGCAGAAACCUAACGGGUGCAAGCCUACCCAAACACUAUUUACCUGUGGUACUGGUGGUAAUCAUCCUACCCUUCCUCCCACACACUAUAAAAAAAGAAAAAGGCAACGUUGCGUGCACGUAAAAACGAUCAAAUAUUAAAAUUAUUAUUUCGUGCCUAACUCAUACAGCCCAAGUGGCAGCACCUCAAAAGUGUUUUUUUAGGGACUUCAAGUAUCCUUCGUUGGGCGUCAGGGAAACAUUCACCUAAACUUUUUUGCAAAGCAAAAAUGUAUUUUGAGAGAAUUGUAAGCCAUAUAAGGUACGCGUCACGAGGAGGGGGAGGUCACAUAAGUUGGGUGCCACAUAGAAUAGGCGAGGGGAGGAUCGUGCCGCCUCCUCCUCUCCCACUCCCCGCCGCGGCGUGAGAGGUUGAAGACAGAUGUGUGGUGGAUGCGCGGCAGCAGGCAGGCCCACCAGCCGCCGCCGAUGGCGCGGGGCCUCCACCGCAGAUGAGGGACCCGCACGAGGACGACCUCGAGGAGUACCGUUCAGGGGCUGCGUGCGCAGUCCCGCGGCCGCUGCAUGCAGGAGGAAGAGAAGAAAGUGCUCUGCCGAGGCCCGAAGCUGGUUUAGGGCGGGUUGAGCGGGUCUAGCUCCGGAAGUCCGAAAACACCUUAGGAGCAAGUUGAGAGGCGGAGAUGGUCUAGGUGCGACUCCCCGAAGCCGCGGUAGGGGGCCACACUAAAGGAGUACCCAGGGCCGAACUAGCUCCGGUUUCCGAAGCCGGCAGGCAGGUGGUACCGACCCUGGACGCGCCUUUGACAUCUACUUAAAUAUGCUCACCUUAGCUGUGACGCCGUCCCAUGCCACCUCAGUGUAACACGUCGGAGCCACAGGGUUAGUCCCUAAGGAAGAUUCCUACGUAUAUAAAACUUCCCACUCCCUAUUACUAAACCAAUUUCCGGAAGCCGGAGAACGAAGUGACUUGUAAACACAGGUAGCUGGUUCAACGUAUAUGCCCUCUUCUAUUCGUUCAGGUUUCACUACAAGAUCGACCCGGAGUUGUGGAACAGGGAGACUGGUGUUGCGGGUUGGUACUAGACCAGUCGUUGGUUAACAUUGUGAUACGGAUCCAAGACUAAUAUAGAUGAACUACGUCUAGUGUACUCGUCUCCCCAAGUCGUUGAGAAUGAUGAGGACCGACACUUUCGAAGACGAAUGGACGAAUAGGUACCAGAAAAACUCGGUAGGUUUAACGUUUUGCGUUCAGUGGUUGUGGUUCUUAGUCCAAGGACGGUCUCCUUGGGUUUCGUCUCGUUCUCUUCCUUUUGUUGCCACUUCUCCAAGACAACCUCUUUCCCGACGUAGUGUAUGAACGGUGGUUCCGGUACAACAGCUCCUCGGACACUAACGGCGAGGUCGACGGAGAGCGCGGUACCGGGUAGCGCACCCCACGUAACACUCUCAGACGUAGUCCGGGCGCAACGGAGAGGUCGUCACUACGUCGUGAGAUCCAUUAUCAAUCAUAACCACAGUUGCUCUCGUUGAUCUCAGCGAUCGACAAUACGAUUUUCGUUGUCCUACGUAGAAGAGGUACGUUCUUCUGUUAUUCCUAUUUCGUCGUUUCUCGUCCGGCAACCACCACUACCUAUUAAAGAGAUUAGUUAAUUUAGCAUCUACGGGAGGUCGUAACGUGUGAUUCUCUAACGUAACGAAUCUAUAUUACCUUCCACUGAAGUCAAAAGUUCUUUCAACUCCACAGCACUAACAAUAAAAAAAUACGUUGUUAAUGGAUUCGAACGGACCGUUCAUAUGUAAGACUUAACAUACAAGUCUACUAUAAGUGUAUAAAUCUGACUUAGCAAUUUAGAUCGUAUAAAUAAAAAGAGUGGAUUAUUAAAACUAAUACUACAUAGGGUA
rnacentral:rRNA from 1 species